AUUAUACUCCCUCCGUCCGAAAAUACUUGUCAUCAAAAUGGACAAAAAGGGAUGUAUCUAAAACUAAAAUACAUCUAGAUACAUCCCUUUUAUCCAUUUUGAUGACAAGUGUUUCCGGACGAAGGGAGUAUAUA
rnacentral:pre_miRNA from 1 species